UCGAGAAUCUUCCGCAAUGGGCGAAAGCCUGACGGAGCGACGCCGCGUGGAGGACGAAGGCCUUCGGGUUGUAAACUCCUGCCACGAGUUAAGAAGGUGUCACGACGAACAGUGGUGACAUUUGACGUAAGCUCGAGAGGAAGCACUGGCUAACUCUGUGCCAGCAGCCGCGGUAAUACAGAGAGUGCAAACGUUGUUCGGAAUUACUGGGCUUAAAGCGCACGUAGGCGGUGUCGUAAGUGUCAAGUGAAAUCCCCCGGCUCACCCGUGGAACUGCUUGGCAUACUGCGAUACUCGAGUGUGGUAGGGGAGAGCGGAACUCCUGGUGGAGCGGUGAAAUGCGUAGAUAUCAGGAGGAACACCGGUGGCGAAGGCGGCUCUCUGGUCCACAACUGACGCUGAGGAGCGAAAGCUAGGGGAGCAAA
rnacentral:rRNA from 1 species